rnacentral:rRNA from 1 species
CACGUAGGAGGCGAGCGUUGUCCGGAAUCAUUGGGCGUAAAGAGCGCGCAGGCGGCUUGGCAAGUCGGGUGUGAAAUCCCGGGGCUCAACCCCGGGACUGCAUUCGAUACUGUCAGGCUAGAGGUAGGUAGGGGAGAUCGGAAUUCCUGGUGUAGCGGUGAGAUGCGCAGAUAUCAGGAGGAACACCGGUGGCGAAGGCGGAUCUCUGGGCCUUACCUGACGCUCAGGCGCGAAAGCUAGGGGAGCGAACAGG